CCGUAACUAUAACGGUCCUAAGGUAGCGAAAUUCCUUGUCGGGUAAGUUCCGACCCGCACGAAAGGCGUAACGAUUUGGGCACUGUCUCAACGAGAGACUCGGUGAAAUCAUAGUACCUGUGAAGAUGCAGGUUACCCGCGACAGGACGGAAAGACCCCGUGGAGCUUUACUGUAGCCUGAUAUUGAAAUUCGGCACAGCUUGUACAGGAUAGGUAGGAGCCUUUGAAACGUGAGCGCUAGCUUACGUGGAGGCGCUGGUGGGAUACUACCCUAGCUGUGUUGGCUUUCUAACCCGCACCACUUAUCGUGGUGGGAGACAGUGUCAGGCGGGCAGUUUGACUGGGGCGGUCGCCUCCUAAAAGGUAACGGAGGCGCUCAAAGGUUCCCUCAGAAUGGUUGGAAAUCAUUCAUAGAGUGUAAAGGCAUAAGGGAGCUUGACUGCGAGACCUACAAGUCGAGCAGGGUCGAAAGACGGACUUAGUGAUCCGGUGGUUCCGCAUGGAAGGGCCAUCGCUCAACGGAUAAAAGCUACCCCGGGGAUAACAGGCUUAUCUCCCCCAAGAGUUCACAUCGACGGGGAGGUUUGGCACCUCGAUGUCGGCUCAUCGCAUCCUGGGGCUGAAGUAGGUCCCAAGGGUUGGGCUGUUCGCCCAUUAAAGCGGUACGCGAGCUGGGUUCAGAACGUCGUGAGACAGUUCGGUCCCUAUCUGUCGUGGGCGUAGGAAAUUUGAGAGGAGCUGUCCUUAGUACGAGAGGACCGGGAUGGACAUACCUCUGGUGUACCAGUUGUCGUGCCAACGGCAUAGCUGGGUAGCUAUGUGUGGACGGGAUAAGUGCUGAAAGCAUCUAAGCAUGAAGCCCCCCUCAAGAUGAGAUUUCCCAACUUCGGUUAUAAGAUCCCUCAAAGAUGAUGAGGUUAAUAGGUUCGAGGUGGAAGCAUGGUGACAUGUGGAGCUGACGAAUACUAAUCGAUCGAAGACUUAAUCAA
rnacentral:rRNA from 1 species